GAUGAACGCUGGCGGCGUGCCUAAUACAUGCAAGUCGAGCGAACGGACGCGAAGCUUGCUUCUCUGAUGUUAGCGGCGGACGGGUGAGUAACACGUGGAUAACCUACCUAUAAGACUGGUAUAACUUCGGGAAACCGGAGCUAAUACCGGAUAAUAUUUUGAACCGCAUGGUUCAAAAGUGAAAGACGGUCUUGCUGUCACUUAUAGAUGGAUCCGCGCUGCAUUAGCUAGUUGGUAAGGUAACGGCUUACCAAGGCAACGAUGCAUAGCCGACCUGAGAGGGUGAUCGGCGACACUGGAACUGAGACACGGACCAGACGCCUACGGGAGGCAGCAGUAGGGAAUCUGCCGCAAUGGGCGAAAGCAUGACGGAGCAACGCGGAGUGAGUGAUGAAGGUCUUCGGAUCGUAAAACUCUGUUAUUAGGGAAGAACAUAUGUGUAAGUAACUGUGCAGAUCUUGACGGUACCUAAUCAGAAAGCCACGGCUAACUACGUG
rnacentral:rRNA from 1 species